GUAAAACAUCAAACACUGACACAUCAAUGUAAUCAUAAAUCACAAAGUCACCGGACAUGCAUACGUCACUCCUGAAGCACCACCCUAACAUAUGUCAUACCGGAAGUCCCACACUAACAUACAUCAUACAGGAAGUCCCACCCUAACAUACGUCAUACAGGAAGUCCCACCCUAACAUACGUCAUACCGGGAGUCCCACCCUACAAACCGGAUGUCCCGCCCACCUGUCACAUCAAUAUGGAAGUCCCGCCCCCCAGGGCCAUAAAUCACCAUUCUGACACAUUAUACCCUACACUAACUACUGACUGACCCAGAGAGUGAGGGAGAAGAAUUUCCAGAGAGCACAAGCCCAAGAGAAAUGUUAGCACUUUCUCAGACAGUUCAGGAGACAGACUUUGAGAAUGAAGAGGAGCCAACUAACCACACUGACCCAAUAGGACCUCCAGACAUUUCCACAUCAAGAGCUGAUGGUCCAGUCCAGCCACACCUUAAAGUCUUUCCCAGGACUCUCCAGGGUGACAGACGAAGACACUUUCAAGCCUCAUGGUACAAUUUACACCCAUGGAUAGAAUACUCCCAGUGCCAGGACUGUAACGACCACCCCUGCCAACCCCUCUGUCUACCGUUCAUCCUCCCCGGAGUACUAGUUAUGUUUCGUUGUUAUUGAUCUUAUUACAUUCAGUCCUGUUCUGUGUUAUAGUCAAGCUACAAGUCCUCUACCUAUCUCUGUGCUAUCAGCACCAGAGCACUAUGAACAGGUGUUUCCAGUUGCCUUGGUAUUUAGCCAGUGUUGUUCAAGGACUGUUUGUGGAUUAUUGUUUCAUGUGCCGUUUCUAAGCUUGACAAGUCUUUGUUUUGGACUAUUUUCCAUUCAAUUCUUGUUGAUUGCACUUGCCUCUGCAUCCUACCUAAGAAACGUUACAGAAUAAUCCACCGCUAUGGAGGCAGCUCAACAAGAGGACUUUUCUGGGGCUCUUGAAGAAAGAGACAGGGUGUUGCGUCAACACCACGACAAGCUGGCUAACCUAGAGGUAGCCAUGGAUGAGGUUUUGCAUAGGCUACGAC
ensembl:lncRNA